AGGACGGAGGAAGGGCAGGGCUGCUGUGCAAACCAGAAAGGACACUCCUUCCUCUGGAUAGCUUAUCAUUGGACAACGUCUUAAUUUCUAUGCAAAUAUUUGGUGAUUAUGAUGUGAGUGCUGCCCCCUGGAGUUGUGUAGCACACUUCCUGGAAGACAAGUGGGAACUCCUCAAAGGAGAGAAUGAAGGCAGCAAAAGUGCUACUGUGGGGAAUGCUCCGCAGACAUGACCUGACACAGGUUCCACCGUAGACUCUCGGAGCCGGUCAGAUAAUCUGAGAUCCCACGCUCUCUGCUGUGGCCUGGGAAAGCAGUAGAAGAUGGCCCAGGUCCUUGGGCCCCUGCAUCCAUGUGGGAGAUGAAAAGAAGCUCCUGGCUCCUGGCUUCAGAUCGGUGCAGCUCCGGCCAUUGCGGCCAUUUGGGAAGUGAACCAACAGAAGGAAGACCUUUCUCUCUAUGUCUCUCCCUCUCACUGUCUGUAAC